GAUGAACGCUGGCGGCGUGCCUAAUACAUGCAAGUCGAGCGAACAGACGAGGAGCUUGCUCCUCUGACGUUAGCGGCGGACGGGUGAGUAACACGUGGAUAACCUACCUAUAAGACUGGGAUAACUUCGGGAAACCGGAGCUAAUACCGGAUAAUAUAUUGAACCGCAUGGUUCAAUAGUGAAAGACGGUUUUGCUGUCACUUAUAGAUGGAUCCGCGCCGCAUUAGCUAGUUGGUAAGGUAACGGCUUACCAAGGCGACGAUGCGUAGCCGACCUGAGAGGAGGGGAGGCAAGAGUGGGAAUGAUGCACGGUACAGAGUCAUAAGGGAGGACGCAGUAGGGAAUGUGCAGCAAGGGGCGGAAGUAGAACAGAACAAAGAGGAGGGAAUGACAAAAGUCUACGUAACGUAAAACUCGGAUAUGAGAGAAAAACAAAAGUCGAGGUAACUCUGCACGGCGGGAGGGGAGCUAAUAAGAAAGACACAGCCAACUAAGUG
rnacentral:rRNA from 1 species